GAUGAACGCUAGCUACAGGCCUAACACAUGCAAGUCGAGGGACCGGCGCACGGGUGAGUAACACGUAUCCCACCUGCCCUUUACUCGGGGAUAGCCUUUCGAAAGAGAGAUUAAUACCCGAUGUAAAGGAUGGGGAUGCGUUCCAUUAGGUUGUUGGUGAGGUAACGGCCCACCAAGCCGUCGAUGGAUAGGGGUUCUGAGAGGAAGGUCCCCCACAUUGGAACUGAGAGCCAGUCCAAACUCCUACGGGAGGCAGGAGUGAGGAAUAUUGGGCAAUGGGCGUUAGCCUGAACCAGCCAAGUAGCGUGAAGGAGGAAGGGUUAGGGGUCGUAAACUUGUUUUAUAUAAGAAUAGGUAUUAUAUGAAUAAGGAUCGGCUAACUCCGUGCCAGCAGCCGCGGUAAUUC
rnacentral:rRNA from 1 species